AAUAUAUGAUGGUGCAGUAAGAAGAUUGGGGGAGGUCUAAUACAUAUCCAAUUUCAAGUAGAAUCUUAUCUCACAAAGCAGAUUGAAUUCGAGAGGUUACACGAUGAUGGCUGAUGGAGAAAUCCUAAAGGUGUUGCAUAGUGAUAAGAUUGAUCUGGAGGGAAAGAAGAGAACAAGAGGAUAUUACUACCUAAUAGAGAGCCCAGUGAGAGGUGGAGCUUUCGGAGACAGGAGGAGUCCAGAGCGAGAUGGAGCUCCAGGUGGUGGAUCGGGCAUG
rnacentral:lncRNA from 1 species